rnacentral:lncRNA from 1 species
UUAAUCACCACAUCAGACCAAAAUAUCGUAGUAACGAAAACCUACAACUGAUUUCAACGUAACCCAAAUUCAAACGACCGAUUCGCCUAGGUCAGAAAGAACAACGAUGAAAUCUAGUCCAAAAUAAUGAUUGACCAAGAACAGAAUGCAAGACCAAAACCCGCGCCCGAUACGAUUUCAAACAGAAAUCGAACACAACCACGAUUUCGGUGGACGUUGCCGGAAUCCGGUCGCACUACCCUCUCUCUGUUUUGAUCUCUCUCUCCCACUCAAAUCUCUCUUUCUUCGAUCUCACUGUUUCUUCGAUCUCACUGUUUCUCUGAUCUCACUGUUUAUUCGAUCUCACUAUUUCCUCUCCGACAACGCAGACAACGACGGAGGAAACCGAAUCUGAACAGCGGAUGGAGGAGAACGGAGGGAGGCUCGGAGGCGUCUAGAGGCGGUGAGUUCGCAAUGGUAGCGACGCUGGUUCGCUGGUUGGAUUCUCGUCGAUGAUGGCGACGGCGGCGUGGUGGCUUACGUCGUCAGUGGCUGCUGACGGCGUAGCGGUCGAGGGAGAGGGGAAGAGAAGGAUAGCCGGUGCUGAGAUGGACGGCGUCAGCCAUGGAUGCCGAUGGGGGUCGUUUGGUUGGUCGCCGGUGAAGUUUGUUGAGAGAGAGAGUGAGAGUCUAGAGAGAAUGAGAGAGAGUUCGGCCCUUUUUUUUGUGCUCA